rnacentral:rRNA from 1 species
GGAACGAACGCUGGCGGCGUGGAUAAGACAUGCAAGUCGAACGGAACAUUUCAGGUAGCAAUAUUUGAAAUGUUCAGUGGCGAACGGGUGCGUAACACGUGGAUUACAUUCCGGGAAGCGGGGGAUAGCCCAGGGAAACUUGGAUUAAUACCGCAUGUGGUCGAAAGACUAAAGGUGGGGACCGCAAGGCCUGCCACUUCCCGAUUGGUCCGCGGCCUAUCAGCUUGUUGGUGAGGUAAUGGCUCACCAAGGCUACGACGGGUAGCUGGUCUUAGAGGACGACCAGCCACACUGGAACUGAGACACGGUCCAGACACCUACGGGUGGCAGCAGUCGAGAAUCUUUCACAAGUGGGGUCAACCCUGAUGGAGCGACGCCGCGUGGAGGAUAAGGUCGUUCGGAUUGUAAACUCCUGUCAUGCGAGAACAAGGUACUCAAGUUAAUAACCAGUAAUGUUAGAUGGUACCGACAAGAAGAAGAGAACGCUAACUCG